AGAGUUUGAUCCUGGCUCAGGAUGAACGCUAGCUACAGGCUUAACACAUGCAAGUCGAGGGGCAGCAUGGACCCAGCUUUGCUGGGUUUGAUGGCGACCGGCGCACGGGUGAGUAACGCGUAUCCAACCUGCCCUUUACUCCGGGAUAGUCUCCUGAAAGGGAGUUUAAUACCGGAUGUGUUUGUCUUUCCGCAUGGGAGCGACAAAUAAAGAUUGAUUGGUAAAGGAUGGGGAUGCGUCCCAUUAGCUAGUUGGCGGGGUAACGGCCCACCAAGGCAACGAUGGGUAGGGGUUCUGAGAGGAAGGUCCCCCACAUUGGAACUGAGACACGGUCCAAACUCCUACGGGAGGCAGCAGUGAGGAAUAUUGGUCAAUGGGCGAGAGCCUGAACCAGCCAAGUAGCGUGAAGGACGACGGCCCUACGGGUUGUAAACUUCUUUUAUAAGGGAAUAAAGUUCGCCACGCGUGGUGUUUUGUAUGUACCUUAUGAAUAAGCAUCGGCUAAUUCCGUGCCAGCAGCCGCGGUAAUACGGAAGAUGCGAGCGUUAUCCGGAUUUAUUGGGUUUAAAGGGAGCGUAGGCGGGCUUUUAAGUCAGCGGUCAAAUGUCACGGCUCAACCGUGGCCAGCCGUUGAAACUGUAAGCCUUGAGUCUGCACAGGGCACAUGGAAUUCGUGGUGUAGCGGUGAAAUGCUUAGAUAUCACGAAGAACUCCGAUCGCGAAGGCAUUGUGCCGGGGCAGCACUGACGCUGAGGCUCGAAAGUGCGGGUAUCAAACAGGAUUAGAUACCCUGGUAGUCCGCACGGUAAACGAUGAAUGCUCGCUAUGGGCGAUAUAUUGUCCGUGGCCAAGCGAAAGCGUUAAGCAUUCCACCUGGGGAGUACGCCGGCAACGGUGAAACUCAAAGGAAUUGACGGGGGCCCGCACAAGCGGAGGAACAUGUGGUUUAAUUCGAUGAUACGCGAGGAACCUUACC
rnacentral:rRNA from 1 species